rnacentral:rRNA from 1 species
CCUACGGGAGGCAGCAGUGGGGAAUAUUGCACAAUGGGCGGAAUCCUGAUCCAGCGACGCCGCGUGAGGGAGGAAGUAUUACGGUAUGUAAAGCUCUAUCAGCAGGGAAGAAAAUGACGGUACCUGAUUAAGAAGCCCCGGCGAACUACGUACCAGCAGCCGCAGUAAGACGUAGGGGGCAAGCGUUAUCCGGAUUUACUGGGUGUAAAGGGAGCGUAGCCGUCAGGACAGGUCUGGAGUGAAAUGCCAGGGCUUAACGCCGGAACUGCUUUGGAAACUGUGAAGCUAGAGUGCAGGAGAGGUAGGAGGAAUUAGUGGUGUAGCGGUGAAAUGCGUAGAUAUCACGAGGAACACCAGUUGCGAAGGCAGCUUACUGGACUGUAACUGACGCUGAGGCACGAAAGCGUGGGUAGCAAACAGGAUUAGAUACCCGAGUAGUC